GAAUUUAAAAUUUUAUUAUAAAUAAAAAUUAUUAUUAUUAUUAAUAAAAAUAUUUUAUUUUUUAUUAUUUAAGAAGAAAAAAUAUAUUUUAAUUAUAGUUUAAAGUAUUGUGAAAGAAAGAUAUGAAAUAGUUCAAAGAAAAAUUUAAUUUUUGUACCUUGUGUAUCAGGGUUAAUUAAAAAAUAAAUUAAAAUUAAUUAUUCUCGAAUUUAAAAGAGCUAAUUAAUUAUAUAUUUUAUUGUAAAAUAAAUAUUUAAAAUAAUUAAUUAGAAAUGAAACGUUAUUCGUUUUUAAAUAUAUCUAGUUUUUAAAGAAAUAAAUUUAAUUUAUUUAUUAAUAAUUAAAAAUUUAAUUUUUUAAUUUUUUAUUAUUAAUAUUUAAUUUUAUUAGGGAUAAGCUUAAUAAAAAAUUUUUAUAAUAGAUUAAAUAUAAAAUAAUUUUUAAGAUUAAAAAUUUCUAUAAAUAAAAGUUUGUUAUAAUUAAUUAUUUAUUAAAAUAAUAUUUAUAUUUUAUUUAAAUUAUUUAUUUAAAUUUAAAUUAAAAUUUAUAAAAUUUAGUAAUUAUGAUUAUAUUAGUAUAGAUUUUUUUUUGUUUUAAAUUAAUAUUAAUUUAAGGUUAAUUUAAGGAACUCGGCAAAAUUAUUUUUCACCUGUUUAUUAAAAACAUGUCCUUUUGAUUAUAAUUUAAGGUCUGAUCUGCCCACUGAGAAUUUAAAUGGCCGCGGUAUUUUGACCGUGCAAAGGUAGCAUAAUCAUUAGUUUCUUAAUUAGGAGCUGGAAUGAACGAUUUGAUGAGAAAAUGACUGUCUCAAAUUAAUUUAUUUAGAAUUUUAUUUUUAAGUUAAAAAGCUUAAAUUUAUUUAAAAGACGAGAAGACCCUAUAGAGUUUAAUUUAAUUAAAAAAUAAUUAAUUAUUGAUUAAAAACUUUUUAUUUUUUAAUUAAAUUCUUGUUGGGGCGAUAAAAAAAUUAAAUAAACUUUUUUUAUAUUA
rnacentral:rRNA from 1 species